rnacentral:rRNA from 1 species
AUUGAACGCUGGCGGCAGGCCUAACACAUGCAAGUCGAGCGGAUGAAGGGAGCUUGCUCCUGGAUUCAGCGGCGGACGGGUGAGUAAUGCCUAGGAAUCUGCCUGGUAGUGGGGGAUAACGUCCGGAAACGGGCGCUAAUACCGCAUACGUCCUGAGGGAGAAAGUGGGGGAUCUUCGGACCUCACGCUAUCAGAUGAGCCUAGGUCGGAUUUGCUAGUUGGUGGGGUAAAGGCCUACCAAGGCGACGAUCCGUAACUGGUCUGAGAGGAUGAUCAGUCACACUGGAACUGAAACACGGUCCAGAGUCCUACGGGAGGCAGCAGUGUGGAAUAUUGGGCAAGAGGCGAAAGCCUGAUCCAGUCAUGCCGCGUGUGUUAAGAAGGUCUUCGGAUUGUAAAGCAAUUUAAGUUGGGAGGAAGGGCAGUAAGUUAAUACCUUGCUGUUUUGACGUUACCAACAGAAUAAGCACCGGCUAACUUCGUG